CGCGGAACAAGGAGCCUCCCAGAGCGCGGAGCAGAGGUCCCCACCCCACUGGCCACACAGGCAGGCUCGCCAUGUCCCGCCUGUCACCCUCCAGGCUUCUCGGAAUCCAGCUUGUCCUCAGCAGCAGUCACUGGCCAUUCUGACCCCGGCUGCUUCCCGCCCCUGAUGCCCAGCCUUCCCCCAAAGGCCUCCUGGACUUGGGGUUUGUCAUAACGGCUUUGGGGGCUGCCACCACUGGUCUCUGGGCACUGGGCCACAGUGUCAGGGAAGGGACUGCACGUCCUUGUUCCCGUCUUAAUGGGAGGGAGGCCAGUGGCAGAUCAGAGACGUGGGUUCUGAGUCAAACACUGGAAUCCAAGGCCCCCUGGCCCAUCACUCCACAUCUGCGAACUUUGACCUUCCUGUAAAACGGGCACAUCCACUCCCCAGAAUUAAAGCAAGACAUGCGUGUCCAGACCAGGAAGAGCAACCACUCAAAAUGUACGGCUUCCCUUUCCUCCCCGAAGGAAGCUGACUUCCCCAGGACAGGGAGUGGGGAGGGUCUGUCCUCUCCACCACCUGCAGCCCGGCCCACUGGGCCCUGAAGGGCAAAUGCAGGUAGCAGGGACGGAGGGUGCCAGGAGGGACCCCUGUCUGGCCAGGUGCCAGGUCAACACCAGCCUCAAACCUGCGGCCUCCACCCCACGCCUGCCCCUGUGGGCAGAGUCUUCCUUCCCUGGCACUGUUCUCUGAACCUCCUUUCCUCUGUCUCUGGCCUCCAUUUGUCCCCCAGCUGUCUGGCCCCCCGGCCCCCUCCACCUUCUGCCGGAUUCCUGCCCUGAGAGGCAGCAGCGUGGGUGCUCUGCCAAGUGGCCGCCCCUCUCCCAGUGUCCCCUGGCUGGUCCCUGGGCGAGGGUCUCCAGACCACGGGAGAGGGAACCCCGGGCCUGGGGCCACUACUCCCACACAGGGCUUCUGUCCUCCGGCGCUUCUCAGAGUUCCUGCCGCUCAACCCACACUCGGCAUGGGGAGUGCAGCCUGACGCCUGCUCUGCUGCCCCUCGGUCCACUGUGGCCACGGCUGUAACCGUAACUUUUCUAGCAGCCACGUUAUAAAAGGUAAUGUCACCUGACAGGUGACAUUAAUAUAUUUUACUUAACCUAAUACAGCCGAAACACUAUCAGUUCGACAUGAGUCAGUAUAAAAACGACGGAGAUGUCUCACACUGUUUUCCCAUGCGAAUGCCCUGCGGUCCAGUGUGCCUGUCACACUCACGCCACCUCUCGACUGGGACGAGCCACGUUUCAAGGCUCAGCGGCCAUUUGCAGCCAGUGGCUACCGUGCGGGACCCCACAGCCCUCGAUUCUAUCCCAGGAUUACUCCUGAUCACCCCCAGGAUUACUCCCGAUCAGCGGGAGCGCUGACGUGGGCCGGGUUGUCACUUGAGCCUCCCAGAGGCCCCUCUCAGCACCACGUCUCCAGGCCACACUUAGGAGAGGACACAGGACACGGCUCGGUGAGACACAGUGCUGAGGCCACCAAUCCCUGCCUGCACCAGUGUCGCCCGGGACAUCCUGGGCACAUUUCUCAGGUUUCACUGUCAGAAAGAAAGAGCACAGCUGCUCCUGAGACACUGAUUCACCAGACACCCGCCAAGCAUCCUUUGGACUAUUCUAAUGAAAUCAACCAUGGCGACUGCCGACCCCUCCCUCUCCCCAGUGUCCCCAUCCAUUUACCUGGCUCACAGGUGCUCAGGCCAGACGAACCCCUGGCUCAAAGGCAGCGGCCACGGGCUCGUGGGGCCUGGCUGGAACGGGUGAGCUAGGCCACUGGAAUGUCCCCCAGGAGUGUGGAGUUAGCAACUUUUUGGUGGGGGGCCCUGAAGCUUAGAGCCAUGCAGACUGGAGGCUGUGAAACUAUUUGGGGCCAUUUGCAAGGAGGCUACUCGGGUGGGGCCCCAAGAGCGGAGCGAGGGGAGGACCGUGUGGCCCAUCCAAGCCCGUCAACUCCUGCCCUUCUGGAGGCCUAGGUGUUCCACACGCCGGCUCCUCUGCACGUGGCCUCCCAAUAACCAACUCAUCGUGCUGGUGUUUGUUUAUUUUAAAGUCGCAUAGAAUUGCGCUUAUUAAAAGAGAAUUCAUAGAGACAGAAAGCAGACUGGUGGCUGCCAAGGGCGAGGGGAGGGGGGCUGAGGUUUCCUUUCGGGGCGAUGGAAAGGUCUGGCGUUAGACAGUGGUCGUGGCUGCACAACACCGCCAGUGUACAAAAUGUCACUAGCGGUGAUUGUAUGUUCUGCGUAUUUUAACACAAUAAAAACAUUUAAAAAUGAA